rnacentral:lncRNA from 1 species
GUUAGGAAAAAAAUUCUGCAAAUUUGCAAUUUGGUUCUCAUUACCCAGCCUCAGAACAAGGUAAAAACUAUUUCUUUUUAAUAAGUAGGCAAAAUAUUUUAUUUUCGAUUUUGAAAAAAGUAUUGCAUUGACAAUAUUUUCAAAAUAAAAGCACCACUUAGGGAAUAUACCUCUGUUGACCUACUGUUUCUUUUACUGAAAAAAAAAGAUUCAUUAGGAAAGGUUAAAAAAAAAUAAUAAUAAUCAUAAGUUAUAAAAGUUGCUAUUAGUGGUAAGAAAAUCUAGAAAAUGCCAAAAAAAAUACUGAAUUAGUCCCAUCAGAGUAACAGGUUACUUCUUGCCAUUUUUCUAGGCAUGUAUAUAACAAGAGCUAAAAUUGUAUUACAAUUGCUUAAUACAGUUCAUCUUCCACUUCAUAUGAACAUUUUCCACUGUAUCUGACAUAUUUUGGCUAUUCUAUUAUUUGUACUGAAGGAGGGCCAUUAUAAUUAACCUCAUUAUACACCCUUCUAUAUAAAUUAGAUUCUCUUUGCAUUGUUUAACUACCCCUUCACUUCUCACUUGCUCUCUUCGGCAGACGGUACACAUGCCCGGAAAAGAAACCGCCUAAAGGUUUGUUCUUCAACUAGUGUCAGUCAACUGAUGCAUUUUCUGCAGAUAAGCCCUUGCUGCUUUCCCCCUUUACAGCACCAAAGAGAGCUAUAGCACAAAAGACUCAUGGCAAUUCACAGGAGGACCCAGGGUGGAGAAAGCUGCAGAGAACUACAUCAAGAGUGAACCCAGUUCUCAAGAAAUGAACAACAGUUCUGAAUAAAUUGUUCCCCCACUCCCUGCACCCCAUUUUCUUUUCAUAACCAACCUUCUGAAAAUUACUUUUCUCCAAACACCUCUGGUUUCAGCAACCUUCAACAUCCUACUUAGUCAAUGUCUUCUAAUGAGUGUUAAAUAUUUACGACCACAUCACCAUAUAAUCAUCAGCUCAAAAUAAGUUUUGUAUCAUUUGCAGACUUCCAUGGCAUGACUAUUUCCAUGGUAACCAGUUUCAAGUUACCAACAUGGUAUCACUGAACAUGGGCUGGGAAGAGCUACUACACAAUAACUGGCUAGCAAAAGCUGGUCCAAGCCAGCUCCACACACCACUGCGUAAGUGUUUCAAGAUGAGUUGUCCUUGUUACAGCAUUUGACUACUUCUUCCUUUGAAAAACUACGCCCACAACCACAUACUGUUAGUUUCUUGCACAUACUUCUCUGGGCUUUUUUACUACCCUACCCCCAUCCCUAUUUCCUCCCGUCUUCUUCCUAGCCCUUAGACAUUACUGUUUCCUAGAGUCUGGUCUUCAAGCCCCAUCCCUUCUUUCUAUAUGCUCCUCCAGUGCCUCUACUACUGCCUAUGCCUAUUUAUAUUUUUAGCCAAGAGCUCUUGCCUGACUUGCAGUUUCCUGAAUACUGAACAGAUCCCACUUAAAUGGAUUCUAGGUAUCUUAAACUAAAAUCCCAAAUGACAGGCCCAACCAUCAAUAGACUGCUCUUCCUCUUUCUUGCUUACUUUGGUGAAAAUUCCUCCCCUUCUCCCUAUCACUCUACCUCUCCUCCUCUCAGUCAUGAAGUCCUACCCCUUCUACUUCCUAAACUUAUUUGCAAACAUCUGCAGCCCACCUCUAUCUGUUCUCUAGAAUUAUUGUAACAGGCUAUCUAAUCUCCUGAGUUCCUUCUGGCAUCGUUCCAAUCUACUCUCCACAAUGCCAGAAUAAGUUGUUUUAUUAAAAUGCAAGUCUGAUCAUAUGACCUAUAAACUUUAAAAUCUUUCAGGAUAACAUCUAAGUCUACCAGCAAGGCAUACAAAGGUGUUUCCCAAUUCUGCUCACCUGGUGAGCAACUGGUGAUGGACCAGCUUAACUCCUUCUCACCUUGUACAGGAUGGGACACUCUUUGAACUCACCGUACUACUUCACAUCUCCUCCGCAUGUGCUGACCCGCUGCUCCACUUCAGAGGCUCUCUCCAAGUUUUCCAGUGCAGUUUCACUACCAAGCUAUCACCACAUCUGCAUCCCACCCAAUACACAUUCCUUCUUACAAAUUUCCCAAUACGCUGUGCUCACUGAGAUCUUUCAUUGUUCCUACAGUAGACAAAAUGCUGGCUUAACCCUACCAUUUACCCUAGUACUUGUCUUGGAAUAGACGCAUUUAAUAUUGGUAAAAUGUUAAGUAUUUAAUAUUUACUCUUCCUCUCAAGUUAGUAAAUUUUAAGGAGUUCUUAUCCAUGCUGUUGAGGGCACGGUAAAAACUUUCCAGGUUGAUGGGAAUGAAAAUAAUAAAUCUUUCUGGAGAGCCUUAAAAUAAUCAUACCCUCUGACCUAGAAAUUCUGUUUGACUCAAACCUAUCAGAGAUAAAUACAAAUGCAAUUCCAUGUAAGAUGUUCACUGCAUGGAGAAUGAGAGACGGCCUAAUUCUCUAAUCAAGAGCAGGAUGGGUAAAGUGUAUACCAUAAUGCUUACAUUAAGAGAGAAAAUACAGGCUGGGCUCGGUGGCUCACACCUGUAAUCCCGGCUCUUUGGGAGUCUGAGGUAGGCGGAUCACUUUAAGUCAGGAUUUCAAGACCAGCCUGGCCAAUGUGGUGAAACCGUGACUCUACUAAAAAAACAAAAAUUAGUUGGGCAUGAUGGCAGGUGCCUGUAAUCCCAGCGACUCAGGAGGCUGAGGCAGGAGAAUCGCUUGAACUUGGGAGGGGAAGGUUGCAGUGAACCGAGAUCGUACCACUGCACUCCAGCCUGAGCGGCAGAGCAAGACUUCGCUUCCAAAAAAAAAAAAAGAAAAGAAAAAAAGAAAUACAAAGGUGCAUGAACGUUAUCGUACAAUUUCAUAAAAAGUGUAUUUAUUUAGAUACACAUAAAAAAGACUAGAAGAAAUUAAUCACUGAAAACAUUUUGGUUGCUCUGGAUGAUGAGAAUUAUAAUUUGCUUUAGGCUUCUAUAUUUCCCAAGAUUUCCACUAAAUCUAUAAAAAGUACUUUAUAGACUCAAUGUACACAGCCUCAGCAAAUCUGCUCACAUUCACCGACUAUAAAACACUGGAGCUAUGUGUCACUGUCACAAAAGGUAGAGAUUAACGUUAAUUGCUGUGGUCCAAGACUUUUAAGUUUUUACUCAUCUUUAAAAUUAUACUAACAACUUUUACAUAAUUAUUUAAAACUAAUCCAUCAAGAAAGCUUAAAAAUACUGAAGGAAAAGGAAGAAAACAGUCAUCUUGAAUUACCUGUAGAAUUGGCUGUUGGCACUGGAGUGGCCGUGGAAACUAUUAAAAAAAGAAAAAAGAAAAACCAUAUACAUCAAAGCUAUUUAAAAUAUCACAAUCUAUAACGCUAGUUCCUGACCUGCAAUCAUUUGAGUACUUUUCACAAUUUUUACAACACUUAAAUACUACCUGUGGAAGAGACUGACAGUUGCCCCCAAAUACCAGUCUCUUCUUUAGAAAUAGAAUCACCAAUUUUUAUCAACACCUCCCUUCCUCCUGAAAAGACAUUUCCUAGUCUCCAGUGCUUCCAGGCCAUCACGCAUAACCUCUAGGAAGCAUCCUUAAAGUAAGAUACAAGCCUCUUUCAUUCCCUUCUUCAUCCUGCUGGCAGGAAAAUAAUCAAUGUGAUGGCUGGAACAUAAGGACCCACCUUGGACAGUAGGGUCAAAGCCAUUUUUGAGAGGUGAAAGAGUAAAAACCUAAAGAAGCCUCAGUCCCUAAUGGUUGCAGAGCUGAACUCUAGUCCAGACUUCCUUUACAUGAGAGAAAAGUAAAUCAGUCCACUGCUUAAGCCAUUGUAAUUUGGGGGUUUAUGUCCUUCAUAGCUGAAACUAAUUCUAACUGGUACAUCAUCAAAUAUGCAGCAGUACAAAUACAGUUUUCCUUUAAAUCAGUUUUCAAAAACGUUCUAAUACUAAUGAAAUCUUCAUUAAUCUUGUCUCUAAGCAAUAUUACAAAACCACAGGUCUGACAGUUAUUAGUUUAUCUAACACAUAUUAAAGUAAUUACUUAAAAUGUUUCAGCCAGGUCCAGUAGCUCAAGCAUGUAAUUCCAGCACUCUGGGAAGCCAAAGUGGGAAGACUGCUUAAGCCCAGGAGUUCAAGACCAGCCUGGGCAACAUAGUGAGACACCAUCUCUACAAAAAAAUUUUUAAAUUAGCCAGCUAUGGUGGCAUGCACCUGUAAUCCCAGCUUCUGGGGAGGCUGAGGCAGAAGGAUUGCUUAAGCCCAGGAAUAUGAGGUGGCAAUGAGUUAUGAUUGUGCCACUGCACUCCAGCCUGGGCAACAAAGAGACUGUCUCAAAAAAAGUUUGUUCGUGUACCACCUAACUAUAUUAUGCACCCUGUGUGAAGUAAAACUGAUCUAAUACUAAUGAAAUGUUCAGUUACAAAAUUCACAUUGGGAUGGGGCAACCCCUACCAAAAUUAAAGAGUCAAAGGUAGUCUUUCAAGGUUAGACACACUGCACAAAAAUCUUUUUCCUAUUCAAUUAUUAUCUAUGCAUCAAAUUAGGAAUAUGCCUUUCCCACUGAUUUACAAUCUCAUUGGAAAAAUCAGCAGCUUCAAGUAGAAUUUUAACGUUUUGCUGGACGAAUAGUAAAGGUUAAAAAUUAAUCAAGUUACUCAGAUUAAAAUACAGAAAAUGGAUGGGUAUAGAAAAGCUCAUUUAACCACAGCACCAACUAUGCUGCAGAAUAAAUUUAUCAAUCAACAAUCCCCAGUAUCGCAACACCAAAAGUGCCAGAAUGAGGUUUCCCAGACCUGCAAGAUGCAAACAUAGCGGCUAAACUGUGAUGAAUUCCUAGAAAAGUUUAAAAAAAAAAAAAAAAGUGUGGGGGCAGACAACGCAUCCACACUUACAGCAUCCACACUAUAGCUAAAUCACUAAACCAAGCUUCAAAUAUCAUCCUUUAAUCAAUCAAUAUGAAUAUACUAUUCAUAUUCCAAUUCUAACAAGAUGAGAAUUAUGGCAAUGCUUCAAACAAAGCACUGAAACAAGGCUUUCUGAGGCAAUGAUCUUCCUCACCUCUCUGCGGUCAGCUUCCAAGCAGCCAAUAUGAAUACUUACCGGAACAGAAGUCUGUCGUGUUCCCCACUUGACAAUCACUAACUGUUGAGUUAUGUGAACAAUAGCUCUCAUCUGUUGGGGGGCAGGGGAAAAGAGACAAACAGCAUCAACCACCCAUUUGUAUUAUCUUUGACUCUGCUACUAAGCUCUAUGAAAUCAAACCCAAACACUUUAGAAGUGGGCAGGGGGAACCACUUUAGGUGUUUUGACCUAAAGUUAAACCCACAGACCAAACCCUGUCAUUCUCCUUUUCCCACUGACUUAGAGAUUACGCAGGAUCCUUCUAACUUUUAUCCAUUAAAAAUCCACAUUAAUAUACUGAAAAAAUAAAUCUGCAACACUUAGAUCUCAGAAUUGUGGGAAGACUACUGUACAAUCAAGAAAGGCAGCCAUCAUCUAAAAAGUGGGCAGGUGGCUCACGCCUAUAAUCUCAGCACUUUGGGAGGCCAGGGUGGGAAGAUCACCUGAGGUCAGGAGUUCGAGAUCAGCCUGACCAAUAUGGUGAGACCCUGCCUCUACCAAAAAUACAGAACUCUGUCUCAGGGAAAAAAAAAAAGGCGGAGACAGUAAGUUGAAGUGGUCAGGGUCUGUAUUAAGAGGUUAGUAAACAGAUGAGGCACCCCAUAACACUGUAGAAACUCUAUUCCAAAUCUCACUGCUUUAGUCUUCUAUACUUUCUAAAACAACUUUCCUGGAUAGGUAGACUUGGAACAAGAGUAAGGGGAGAACCUUUCCCAACAAAUCUUAAAGUAGAGCAUUCCAUCUCCAAAAUUCACCAACUCUUACAUACUCCCAUAUAAAGGGGAAAGAGUACGCCCUUAAAUCCCAUUUUAUGACCUAAAAAAAAGAGACACUUCUAUAACAAAAAAGUUAAUUUGGCCCAAUUUAGUUAAUACCUUAAAGAGCUUUUUGAAAUUUAUGUAGUGAUAUAAUUUCUAGAACUAUUAAAAUUUUUACCAAAUAAAAAAACUUAUGGUUUGUUUUUACUUAAAAAAAAAACCGCCAAAACAACUAGAUUGUUUUACUGAUAAGUGCAACCACUUUACAUUAAAAAACAAUUAAAAUAAUGUAUGCAGUAAUAUGGUUCUAAUAAGAAUCUUAUUGAAUUUCAAUGUACGUCCCUUUAGCGCUCUACCUCUUGUAUUAACAAAAGCACAGGAAGUCAACUCUCCCUACCUCUUUCUUCUCUACACCUAAGCAUCCAACAGUUUCAUAAGGUCUCUUUAUAUUUCAUGUUGCAGGACACAGUUUUCAACACAACCUUCACUCACAGCUAAUUCCAGUGUAUUAAAGUACUCUCAAUCCUUAGAACAGGCUUUAAAAAAAGCCAGGUGAGGAAGCACGCAUCUGUAGUCUUGGCUACUAGGGAGGCCAAGGUUGGAGGAUUGCUUGAGCCUAGGAUUUCAAGACCAACCUGGGUAACACAGGAGACUCCAUCUCAUAAAAAACAAACGACUGAGCUUUAAUUAUCAAGUCUUAAGGAAUCUAAAGGGAGGAUGGGAGACAAAAAGAGAUUUUCAGGGGGAGUGCGAGGCAACUGGCACUUUAAAGGAGUACUGGAUUUGCAAAAUAAAUAGUGCACAAUAUCCUAAAUGUCCUACAUAACUUUCAAGUGUUCAAGAAUUACUGUAUUUUAAAAUGCUAUAACAAAACAGUUUUGCAUCCCCAAAGUUUCUUACCUU